GACGAACGCUGGCGGCGUGCUUAACACAUGCAAGUCGUACGGUAAGGCCCUUUCGGGGGUACACGAGUGGCGAACGGGUGAGUAACACGUGAGUAACCUGCCCACAACUUUGGGAUAACGCUAGGAAACUGGUGCUAAUACUGGAUAUGUGCUCCUGCUGCAUGGUGGGGGUUGGAAAGCUCCGGCGGUUGUGGAUGGACUCGCGGCCUAUCAGCUUGUUGGUGGGGUAGUGGCCUACCAAGGCGGCGACGGGUAGCCGGCCUGUGAGGGUGACCGGACACAAUGCGAAUGAGAUACGGCCCAGACUCCUACGGGAGGCAGCAGUGGGGAAUAUUGCACAAUGGGCGCAAGACUGAUGCAGCAACGCCGCGUGCGGGAUGACGGCCUUCGGGUUGUAAACCGCUUUCAGCAGGGACGAAGCUUUUUGUGACGGUACCUGCAGAAGAAGCACCGGCUAACUCCGUG
rnacentral:rRNA from 1 species